GUAGAGAGGUCCUGUGAGGAGAGGCGCUGCGGGGGCAGCUGUUGAUUCCCUCCUAGCGCUGCCAAGUUUGCCAUUAAACCGUGUCCCUCAGCAGCACAUCUAUAUGUCUUCUGAGCAACUCCACGGAUACUGUAAUACUUUGCUGUUCCAAUGCCUCACAAACCUUUCAGUGCAGAAAUUUUUCCUAAUACCCACCCAAAAUCUCCUCUGCUGCAAGUUGAGGCCGUUUCCUCUUGUCCUAUUUCACAGAAAAAAAGAUAUAAAUAAAAAGAAUGAUAGCCUACAUUUACAGUAAUAGAACAUAGGGUUUAAUUUUUGUGUGUGGUGCUAUUGCUGUAAGUCAAGCAACAGAACUAUGCUUCCAGUUCAGCAUCCAGAAGCUGUAUUGAUGAUAAAAGUAGAAGAUCCUGAUUGCUGGGGGCUAGGGAUGAACAUGUUAAGUUCCACAGCAGACCACGGGUUCCAAUAAGGCUGGGGAAUGAAGCUAUUAACUAUUUAGUAGAUACCAGAACUAGUUACCCAAAUAUAAAUUAUUUUAAAGGACCUUUAGGUAUUGUAUGCCGGUAGUUGGGACCACAGGAUUAGAUGUGAAACUGGAAAUUUAACAAAUGAGUUUUUGUGUGCGCCAGAAUGCCCUUUACUUCUCAUGGGAUGGGAUGUGUUGAACAAAUGGGGAGCUCGGAUCCAAAUCUUUAUGAGAACAAGGAUUAGAUACACAUCCCACAAGAUAAUCCUGACAGACACCAGUCUGUUUGUUACAGGAACGCUUGAGAGAAGAAAGCAAAGGAAAACAAGUAACUGAAAUUCCAUCUGAAAUUCAUGCAGUAGUUCCUUUUGUAAGGGAGACCGAAAAGCCAAGGAAAGACAAAUCUGCUGAGCCAGUAAAAGUAGAAUUUAUGGCAGGAGUUAAACUGGUAAGACAAAAAGAAUAUCCUAAGAAGCUGGAGGCCUGUAUUGGGCUAAAACCUGUAACUGAGGAUUUCCUAAAGUAAGGACUGUUACAAGAAUGCCAGCCUGUAUGUAACCCUGUUAAAAAGCCACGUUCUCAAGAUUAUCAAUUAGCGCAAGAUUUGAGAGCUGUUAGUGAAGUAGUUGCCAAUGUGCAUCCUGCAGUUUGGAACCCCAACAUUUUGUUGACAACUAGAGUUGAUUCUAAUGUUUACUUGACCGUUCUAGAUAUGAAAGAUGCUUUCUUUUGCAUUUCCUUGGAAGAGCAAAGCCAGAAAUUGUUUGCUUUUGCAUGGGAAAGCCCAAUAACAGAGACAAAGACCCAGCAGUGUUGGAUGGUGUUUCCCCAAGGAUUCAAGAACAGCCCUACACUGUUUGGUAAUGUACUGGCUAAAGAAUCGGAACAAUGGCAAGGUAUGUGCAAUUAGGAACUCCUGGAUGUGCCCAUACAUUCCUUCAAACCAUGGGACCAAGUGUAUCUCCAAACCUCUGGUUGAGAAGUGAAAAGAAUCUUAUCUGAUACUUCCUAACAACAGAUACUGCAGUAAAAGUAAAGGAUUGAGUCCUGAAUUCAUUACACCAGGACAAAAACAUGUCCAUGUGAGAAGUGGAGAAGUGAAGAAUUUCCUAAAGCCAAAGAUCAAGAGAAAUGCAUAAACUGCACCCAGAAUAGACUGGGUGCUUAUUUAGGACUAGGUUGUACUCUGGGGAUAUUACUCUUUGCUUUUGUAACUUUGAUUUUACUCAUUCUAUAUUUCACAUGUUUUUUACAGGUGUCUUGUUGGUAAUUUUAGCCUCUGUCUGUUUAUAUGUUGUAUUGCAGUGUAUAGACAAGUGUUGCUGGAUGUCGGUGAACAAAACCUCAGAGAAAAUGAGACUAAUCUAGACUGCACUGUUAGAUAUGUUUCCAAGGGGGGAAUUGUUGUGAGUCAAGUGGGAAUUAAUCUUUGUACGAGUCUUUGUAUGGGUACCCUUCAGAUUCAGCAAAGACAUCAUGUAGUAAUACGCAGAUUGGGUAACCAGUCAUAGAGCUGGAGGCUGCAUUGGAAUGGUGAUCAAGUGAUAAGAUUAUGUAUAAAAAACAUCAU
ensembl:lncRNA